rnacentral:rRNA from 1 species
AUAUUAAUAAGCGGAGGAAAAGAAACUAACAAGGAUUCCCUUAGUAACGGCGAGUGAAGUGGGAAGAGCUCAAAUUUAAAAUCUGACAGGUUUCCUGUCCGAGUUGUAAUUUAUAGAAACGUUUUCGGCGGACACUUGGGUAUAAGUCCUUUGGAACAGGGCAUCAUAGAGGGUGACAAUCCCGUCUUUGACUCAGUGUUGUCUGCUAUGUGAUACGUUUUCUAAGAGUCGGGUUGUUUGGGAAUGCAGCCCAAAAUGGGUGGUAAAAUUCAUCUAAAGCUAAAUAUUGGCGAGAGACCGAUAGCGAACAAGUACCGUGAGGGAAAGAUGAAAAGAACUUUGAAAAGAGAGUUAAACAGUACGUGAAAUUGUUGAAAGGGAAACGUUUGAAACCAGUCAUAUCGUUAGGAAAUCAGCCUGGCUUCUGCCUGGUGCACUUUCCUACUGAUAGGUCAGCGUCAGUUUUGGUUGCCGGAAAAAGACUUUGGGAAUGUGGCUACUUUUGUAGUGUUAUAGCCCUUUGUUUAUACGGUGACUGGGACUGAGGUCUGCAGUCAACCCAGGGAUACUUUGUUGCUGCUGUAAGCUCUCGUAUAAUCAGCUUGCUGACUAUAGUUGAAACUUACUUCACUCAGCUAAGGAUUACCAAAUUGGCUUAGGUCGCUGACUUAAUGGUUUUAAAUGA